rnacentral:rRNA from 1 species
GACGAACGCUGGCGGCGUGCUUAACACAUGCAAGUCGAACGGAAAGGCCCUGCUUUUGUGGGGUGCUCGAGUGGCGAACGGGUGAGUAACACGUGAGUAACCUGCCCUUGACUUUGGGAUAACUUCAGGAAACUGGGGCUAAUACCGGAUAGGAGCUCCUGCUGCAUGGUGGGGGUUGGAAAGUUUCGGCGGUUGGGGAUGGACUCGCGGCUUAUCAGCUUGUUGGUGGGGUAGUGGCUUACCAAGGCUUUGACGGGUAGCCGGCCUGAGAGGGUGACCGGCCACAUUGGGACUGAGAUACGGCGCAGACGGCUACGGGAGGCAGCAGUGGGGAAUAUUGCACAAUGGGCGGAAGCCUGAUGCAGAGACGCCGCGUGCGGGAUGACGGCCUUCGGGGUGUAAACCGCUUUCGCCUGUGACGAAGCGUGAGUGACGGUAAUGGGUAAAGAAGCACCGGCUAACUACGUG